CGCCAAGCUUAAGUAUUACAGUCUACUGAAUGCAGAUUCUGCACUUGGGAAUAAAUUUUCUGAUAGCUGAUGAUAUGCUUGGAAUACUUGCUGUCAAGCUAAAGAAAGGAUCGGCUUUGGAAUUUGGGCGAAGUUGCAUAUUACCGGCAUGCAUGUUGAAGGGAAGGCCAUUAACUAUAGUGCACAAAAGAAGGCUGUUUCAGAAUUUAAAAGCACAUUACUAAUACAGCUCAAAGGUCAAUCUCCACUUCACAUUGAUUGACAACUUCCACAUUGCAAAGUAUUGGUUGUGUUAGCUACAAAACUACAUCCUUUGCUUCAGCAAUUCAGUAAGUUGCAUACAUGCAGUUGCUUAUCUUUCGUUAAUAGAAUAUACUGAAUUCUUUCUUGAGGUAUCUACAUAGUGAUCUGAGGUUUGGUGCGUACUUUGACGUAAAAUAGUUUAUUCUAAGCCUAACUAUUUUGUUUCAAUAUGUAUGUCUUCAAAUCUGUAACUGUAAGAAAUACUUUGGUUACUUAUAGCAUGUUUCAAAUUUUCAUGU